rnacentral:lncRNA from 1 species
CCUCUUCUUUUUUUUGAUUUUUUUUUCAAUUACAAUAUGCUAAAAUAUAAAGGAAGAGAAAAAAAAUUUACAACCUGAAUUUUUUUUAAAUCCAAUACAAUAGUAAACAAAAUACAAGGAAGAGAAAAAAAUUAAAUUCCAACUCAAAAUUUUUUUUUUUUACGUUACGAACCUACUCCGAGCUUGAUACGAAUGUCAGCACUCCUCGUUUUAGUGGCUCUGAUACCAAAUGAUGUGAUUUGGCUCGUUUGAUUGAGUCGAUUCACUUGAUUGCCCGAUCGUCGACGAGGAAUAGUUGAGUUAUCAAAAAUAGGAUGAAAUAAGGCUAAAGAUGCGGAAGCUUUCAAAUGGUUUUAAAAGGUUAGCUAAGGUGAUGGUAAAUUUAUAAGGGUAGUAGGCUCGAUUUAAGGAUAAAAAUAAGAAAAAUGGAAGUUGAUAAAUGAAGGCUCGGUUUUGUAAAAAGAUUUAUAGUUGGGUAAAAUCUAGGAUAGUCGGUGGAAUGGAUAAAUGAGCUUAAACACCAGAAACGAUUCAACACUAAAAAGUGUCACCCCGAUUUCUAUUCGGUUCAAGGUGGGAUUACGGAAUUGUAGAAGGGUUGAACGCCACACCAAAGCAAGGUGAUAAGUUCAAAAGAGAACGAUAGACGCCACUAGCACGCUAGAUAAGUCAGAUCGAAACUCGUACGAAUUUAGAGAGGAGAAAACUCACUCUUUGAAC